UUCUUUUUUUUACAAUCCAGAGGUCUUCUAUUUUAUUUUUUUUAACACCGAUUAUGCCAUGAAUCAAUCCAUAGGGAAGAGGUUCCAGCAGCUCAAGCUCCUUCCCAUUUGUUCUCACACAGUGCGCUUCUCUGGGCAGAGCAGACUGGCACUUCUGCUGAAUCCAGAUUCACAUAUACGUGACCAAAGGGAACAACUCCAUGCUUCCUAAAAGGCCUAGAAGACAUCUACCAGGAGCCUCUCCUCUUUCCCUUUGUGUUUGUCAUUUUGUCGAAUUACUGGAAGACGGUGGUUCUGGCCAAAAGGGCCAUAAUAAACUUUUAUUUUCUUGUUUCUGUGUUUUUCUAUAAUAAACAUACAUUAUUUUUAUAACCAAAAAUGACCAACAACAUACAUUAAUUUUCUCUUUAAUAAACUUUAUCUGAUUUUCC